ACACGGACCAAGGAGUGCAACAUGCGUGCGAGUCCCGGGGUGGAGAAUCCGUAGGCGCAAUGAAAGUUAAGGCAGUGSGUCUCGGCCUGCUGUGGCGAGAGCUCCCACCCCCUCCUCCUCUCGGGGGGGAGGAUCUCGGGGGCGCAUCGUCGACCGAUCCCGGGCUACGCUGUGGCGGGAUUUGAGUGAGAGCGUGCCUGUUGCGACCCGAAAGAUGGUGAACUAUGCCUGAAUAGGGUGAAGCCAGAGGAAACUCUGGUGGAAGCUCGCAGCGAUUCUGACGUGCAAAUCGAUCGUCAAAUUUGGGUAUAGGGGCGAAAGACUAAUCGAACCAUCUAGUAGCUGGUUCCCUCCGAAGUUUCCCUCAGGAUAGCUGGAGCCCGGUGCAGUUUUAUCAGGUAAAGCGAAUGAUUAGAGGUCUUGGGGCUGAAACAGCCUCAACCUAUUCUCAAACUUUAAAUGGGUAAGAAGCCCGGCUUGCUCGGUUGAAGUCGGGCGCAGAAUGCCGGGGCUCCCAGUGGGCCAUUUUUGGUAAGCAGAACUGGCGAUGUGGGAUGAACCAAAUGCCGGGUUAAGGUGCCUGAAUCGACGCUCAUCAGACCCCAUGAAAGGUGUURRUUGRYACUGACAGCAGGACGGUGGCCAUGGAAGUCGGAAUCCGCUAAGGAGUGUGUAACAACU
rnacentral:rRNA from 1 species